UACCCGCAGCACAAGUGGUGGUCAUUAUUAUUGGGCCUAAAGCGUCCGUAGCUGGCCUGUUAGAUGCCUGGGUAAAUCGAUGCGCUCAACGCAUCGAACUCCGGGUAGACCGGCAGGCUUGGGACCGGGAGAGGCGUGAGCUACUCGGGGGGUAGGGGUAAAAUCCUGUAAUCCUCCGGGGAGGACCAGUGGCGAAGGCGUCACGCUAGAACGGCUCCGACAGUGA
rnacentral:rRNA from 1 species